rfam:Glycine soja cultivar W05 scaffold2511_17, whole genome shotgun sequence.
CUCUUAUUGGAUGAAGACUGUCACGUGUCAUAUUCUGAUUGGAUGUCAAUUCCAGAAAAUAUGAAAUGCAUUAUUGUUUUCGUUGACCAAUCAGAACAUAACACAUGACAAUCAUCAUCC